CGCCUCUUGACUUAACCAUAAGAGGUCCAGCCUGCCCAGUGACAUUGUUCAACGGCCGCGGUAUUCUAACCGUGCAAAGGUAGCGUAAUCACUUGUCCUUUAAAUGAGGACUAGUAUGAACGGCCACACGAAAGCUAUACUGUCUCCUUUUUCUAAUCAGUUAAACUAAUCUUCCCGUGAAGAAGCGGGAAUAAUCAUAUAAGACGAGAAGACCCUAUGGAGCUUUAAGCAAUUGAAACACUUGUACCCACCUUCUUCACUUCCACAUAACACUUAACUCCACAUUUUGUUUCUAGCUUUAGGUUGGGGUGACCACGGAGAAAAAACUAUCCUCCACGCCGAAAGAGUUAAUCUCUAAACUAAAAACUACACCUUUAAGUAUUAAUAUAUUAACCUAAAUUGACCCAAUAAUUUGAUCAACGAACCAAGUUACCCUAGGGAUAACAGCGCAAUCCAUUUCAAGAGAUCUUAUCGACAAAUGGGUUUACGACCUCGAUGUUGGAUCAGGGUAUCCUAGUGGUGCAGCCGCUACUGACGGUUCGUUUGUUCAACGAUUAAAACCCU
rnacentral:rRNA from 1 species